UUUUUUUUUUUUUUUUUUGCUAUUGUUUUCAGGCGAUAUGGCUCCCUUUGUGUGGACUCUUUUUUGUGAUAUAAUCCCAUACCCUCUCUGUUUUAGCAUUUACAGGAGGCUGAGCAAGUCUCUACAGGUCGAUUUUACCAAGUCUUAGGGUUCUUCAAUUUGGGUUUUCUUUUUCAAUUGAGGAUUUUAAUGGAUUAUGGAUUUGGAGCAUUUGUUGUUUAACGGGCCUUUGAUGUUCAUGUUUUGAUAGGCUUUAACUUUUUCUAUUUGAUUUUGCAUAUCUAUAAUUGUAAUGUCUGCCACUUUUUUAAUGAA
rnacentral:misc_RNA from 1 species